rnacentral:rRNA from 1 species
GAUGAACGCUAGCGGCAGGCUUAAUACAUGCAAGUCGAACGGGAUUCAGGGUAGCAAUACUUUGAUGAGAGUGGCGCACGGGUGCGUAACGCGUAUGCAACCUACCUUUAACAGGGGAAUAGCCCCGAGAAAUCGGGAUUAAUACUCCGUAACAUUGCGGGAUGGCAUCAUUCUGCAAUUAAAGAUUUAUCGGUUAAAGAUGGGCAUGCGUGACAUUAGCUUGUUGGUGAGGUAACGGCUCACCAAGGCAACGAUGUCUAGGGGUCCUGAGAGGGUUAUCCCCCACACUGGUACUGAGACACGGACCAGACUCCUACGGGAGGCAGCAGUAAGGAAUAUUGGUCAAUGGGCGCAAGCCUGAACCAGCCAUGCCGCGUGCAGGAAGACGGCCCUAUGGGUUGUAAACUGCUUUUGUCAGGGAAUAAACCUGUCUACGUGUAGACAGCUGAAGGUACCUGAAGAAUAAGCAAUCGGCUAACUCCGUGCCAGCAGCCGCGGUAAUC